rnacentral:lncRNA from 1 species
GCUAUUGAGGAGGUUUGCAGUAAAGAUAAGAUGCUCAAAGUAAAUGCAAACCGAGAUUUAGAGUGGUUCGGUCAAUCUUGACCUACUCCACUUUUGGCUUCCUCCAUCGACGAGGUCACCGACGUCAACUAGAGGCCUUCCUUCAAUAGGCGAAGGCCAACCACCCUUUUACAGUUUCACUCCUUUUGACGGGCUUAGGAGACAACCCUUACAGAAUUUUCUCUCCUCUCUUUACAACUCAAAACUU